CUGUGUAAACCCCCUGAGUUAAUCUAUAACAGGCUCUAAAUCCUUCUCCACGCAACCACACAGAUUAAGAAAAGUAGAUUUAAAAAUGUAAAUAAGUAAAAUGUAAGUAAAUACAUACGACUGACUGAAUGCAUGGAUUCAUCUCUGAAAACAAAUGACAUUUUUAUAAAGAACAGACGCCUGUUGAUUGGUAAAUUGACUCAGCCAAUCAGUGAUUUCACUUUAAUGCAAUGACUUUUCUAGGAUUCCAAGGGGGCUUCUAUGGGUAUAUUUUCAUUUUGCGUUAGUCGAGAAGCUUUUGGAUUCAAAAAACGAAAAAUGAAAUCCUGGCAAGGCCAAGUAUAAAUGCUGCAAAACCGAAUUAUGGUAGAUAAUUUACAUUAAGGUAAUUAUGAUGAUUUUUUUCUCUGUGUUUAUCUUUGAUUUCAUAACUAGUAUACAAAAAGCUUGUUGUAAAGGAGUUAGUUUAUUGUGUUCAGCUGCUCCUUUAGUGUUUCUUUUUUGUACAAACUAAAGUUUGCCCUUAUUCAUUCAUUCAUUCAUUCAUUCAUCUUUUAAGCUGUUUUGUCUCUUUUGGGGUCACGGGGCUGCCGGACAGUUCGCCAGUCUGUCACAGUUUACCUGUAUGUUUUCUUAAAACCGGUAUUGAACUUUGAACUGGAGCUCAAACAUUAUAAUGCAUUUUUUCCUGGAUGUAUUUGACAUUUCUUGCUAAAUAAUUAAGAUAUCAUUUUUUGGAUGCUGGGUUGUGUGAUUUGAACCAUAAGAAAACGUUUUAUAAAGUGGCGCCCUGUCCCAGCAGGAUGCAGUACACAUGAUUAGCCGCAGAUUAGGCAGCACACACAGCUUAGUGCUCUCUUAUUCUGUUGCCAACUCCCAAAUGCACAAGCACAUUUUCUGCAGAGAGUCAUGGCAGCAAAUGAUAUUCAGCCUGCUGCUCCUGCUGAUGUUUGUCCAGAGAGGAAUUUCUCAGUUGCCUGACUGGAAUGCAGAGCUGGAAGUUAGCGGUGAGACAGAAUGGACUCCCCAGCCGGAGGUCACAGGCGACACGUACUGGUCGGGGUCAGCGCCUCUUUGUGUUGGAGGUUGUAAGGCGCGUCACCGGGAAGUGAGGCGAGACCGCUGUGGAAACUCCAACUGCUGCUGGCUUGGCUAUAAGUCUCUGUGCAGAGUUUUCCUCCUCCUCCCUGUGUGCACCAGUGAACUGUGGGAGGCCUGGUGUGGACUAUAACGGAGUGCUGUAUGGUAACGACUGGUGGGUGGGCUCUGUGGUCAGGUACACCUGUCGCUCUGGCUUCAUGCUCAUGGGAAACCCAACCAGCCUGUGCCAGCCUAAUGGUCUCUGGACCCCAAAGCCCAGCUGCCUACGAAUGUGUCAGAGGGGGAGCAUCGAAGUCAGUGAGAGGGAGCUGAAUGGGACGUGUAACUCCACCUGUGCUGAUAAAAGCUACUUCGGCCCACCCAAACUAGGUUGCACUCGGAUUGACAAUUGUAAAAAGAAGGAGAGUGGCUGGAAGCGCUUUUUUGCUCAGUGUGUCCCAUGCAUUUGUGACUGCUCUCUGUCCUGUGGUGAGUAACUUCCAUGAUGAAUCAUGAUCAGAUGCACUCGGUGCUUGGAUGUUCUUCAUUAUUAUAUUAAACAUCUUUUAACCAUCUAUCUGUGAGAAGUUCUGUUUUUUUCCUUUCUAGUGUCUGCUAGGGAAAGCCUGAUGACGCCCCAGAAGAAGAGACGCAGACGGUUUUGACGGCUUCUUCCAGCUGUGAGGACAAAGCAGAAAAACAAAAUCAAAAUACUUUUGAGGAGUCAUUUUAGGACUUUCAGCUCUGCAAAAACUGAAUCUUAAUAAAGUAAAAAGACCACUGUUUAAAAAAAAAAGUCCUAUUUCCUGUUUUGCAAGAAAAAUAGCUUUUUGAAGAAAGUUUUUCAAUAGCAAAAUGAUCUUAGAUUAAAAAAAAACUAGUCUUAGUUACUGAUUUUUUUUUAUUUGUUAAAAAAAGAAUUCAUAGUAGGAUCAUCUUUCUUACGCCGUUGGCAGAUUCUUUUUGCCUAAUUAAAAAACAUUGUUCAAUUUUUUAGAAUGGAGCUGUUAUUUUCCCGUACAGUUAUGUGAAAACACUAAAGGAAAUAUAUCUGUGAAAAUUCUAUCGGGCAGUGGUUGUGUCAGACUUCCCGUCAGCUAUUUUUAGUGACAAAUAUUCGGAAAAUAAAUUAGUACAACUCUUGAAAAAUGUCUUUUUCUCAUUUUCUUGUUGGUUGAAAUACGUUUGGUCACAAAAGAGCUUCACAUCCCGGCUUCUCUCCAGCUCCUCUUUCUCCAUCUGUUUUUAAAGGAGCUGAAACCUUAAUCUUGUUACAAAUGGUAAAUCUGAGCAGCGUUGUUAUCAACAAAUGGUAUUUAUAGACGAGCAAGCCCACUGACCUGCCUGUUAGCACGCCUGAUUUGGCUCUUACAAUAGGCGGGAAACAUAAAUCCCAUUUUUUUUAUUUGAAUCUGCUUUUUGUGGAUGCAGAGUCACAGCAAACCCAAAAGACAGAGAGCAAACAACACAAAGGUUUUCAGUGCAGUUAUUCAAUUGAUUUCUAUUCCAGAUCAAUCCAGAUUGUUUGAGAAUAAUUAAAGAAGAAAGGAAAAAAAAAGAGAAAUUGAAGCAAAUGUGCUGAAAAGGUGUUUUGACACAAUCUUCUAUAGUGAGCUCCUCCAGCUGUGGAGGAGGAGAAACAAGAACCAGGCUCAGUAAAGACGAUCUUUUGUCUUGAACUGCUGCAUCUGAGAAACAGGAAACAGAAAAAUCUCCAGAUUGGAACUCUACUACAAGAGAUUCUAUGUACAAAGAUCCAAACACGCUUCUGAAAAAUAAUUGCUAAUAAUUUACAAUUUAAAACAUAAAUCUUAGAAACCUGAGAAAACAAAAACUGUCAAUGCAGUACAUUAUUCGAUUUAGCGGGAUACUUGAGUUGUAAAGAACCUUAUUUUAUUUAGUUUGGUAAAGAAGAAAAGGUGAUGCUGAAACCACUAUUGAUAGAGCUGCCUCAGUGAAAAUCCAUGAAAACAAAAAUUACAUUUGUUUUUGCACUGCCACAGUUUGUGUAAUAGUUACAGUAAUAGGAAGAGGGCUUUGUUUAAUUUUUUUUAUAACAGAAUUUGUUUUCCGUCUCCAAACUGUGUUUACACUCCACUGAAACCAGCUUUUGCCAGUUUGUUCUUCCGUUUCUAAGGGUUUUUUGUGCAGUCUAUACCUUUGUGGAUUAUGAAUGUUAGUUUUUUUUGUUUUGUUUAGGUGUAAAUAAGAAGAAAAUGGGAUUUGGCAUAAAAUUGUAUUUUUAUAGUUCAUCUGAGUGUGCACCUACCGGUAUAUAUGUUGAAGGAAAUAAAGUCAACAAAUGAACAAGCACUGGCCACACACGUCACUUUGCUGAUUCAGCUUAAAAUAAAACUUUACAAAAGUA